rnacentral:rRNA from 1 species
UCCACGCCGUAAACGAUGAUAACUCGUUGUUGGCGAUACACAGUCAGCGACUAAGCGAAAGCGAUAAGUUAUCCACCUGGGGAGUACGAUCGCAAGGUUGAAACUCAAAGGAAUUGACGGGGCCCGCACAAGCGGUGGAGCAUGUGGUUUAAUUCGAUGAUACGCGAGGAACCUUACCUGGGCUCAAAUGCAGAAUGACAGGUCCUGAAAGGGAUUUUCUUCGGACAUUUUGC